rnacentral:rRNA from 1 species
GAUGAACGCUAGCGACAGGCUUAACACAUGCAAGUCGAGGGGCAGCGGGGGUAGCAAUACCCGCCGGCGACCGGCGCACGGGUGAGUAACGCGUAUGCAACUUACCUAUCAGAGGGGGAUAACCCGGCGAAAGUCGGACUAAUACCGCAUGAAGCAGGGAUCCCGCAUGGGAAUAUUUGCUAAAGAUUCAUCGCUGAUAGAUAGGCAUGCGUUCCAUUAGGCAGUUGGCGGGGUAACGGCCCACCAAACCGACGAUGGAUAGGGGUUCUGAGAGGAAGGUCCCCCACAUUGGUACUGAGACACGGACCAAACUCCUACGGGAGGCAGCAGUGAGGAAUAUUGGUCAAUGGCCGAGAGGCUGAACCAGCCAAGUCGCGUGAGGGAUGAAGGUUCUAUGGAUCGUAAACCUCUUUUAUAAGGGAAUAAAGUGCGGGACGUGUCCCGUUUUGUAUGUACCUUAUGAAUAAGGAUCGGCUAACUCCGUGCCAGCAGCCGCGGUAAUACGGAGGAUCCGAGCGUUAUCCGGAUUUAUUGGGUUUAAAGGGUGCGUAGGCGGCCUUUUAAGUCAGCGGUGAAAGUCUGUGGCUCAACCAUAGAAUUGCCGUUGAAACUGGGGGGCUUGAGUAUGUUUGAGGCAGGCGGAAUGCGUGGUGUAGCGGUGAAAUGCAUAGAUAUCACGCAGAACCCCGAUUGCGAAGGCAGCCUGCCAAGCCAUGACUGACGCUGAUGCACGAAAGCGUGGGGAUCAAACAGGAUUAGAUACCCUGGUAGUCCACGCAGUAAACGAUGAUCACUAGCUGUUUGCGAUACACUGUAAGCGGCACAGCGAAAGCGUUAAGUGAUCCACCUGGGGAGUACGCCGGCAACGGUGAAACUCAAAGGAAUUGACGGGGGCCCGCACAAGCGGAGGAACAUGUGGUUUAAUUCGAUGAUACGCGAGGAACCUUACCCGGGUUUGAACGCAUUCGGACCGAGGUGGAAACACCUUUUCUAGCAAUAGCCGUUUGCGAGGUGCUGCAUGGUUGUCGUCAGCUCGUGCCGUGAGGUGUCGGCUUAAGUGCCAUAACGAGCGCAACCCUUGCCACUAGUUACUAACAGGUAAAGCUGAGGACUCUGGUGGGACUGCCAGCGUAAGCUGCGAGGAAGGCGGGGAUGACGUCAAAUCAGCACGGCCCUUACAUCCGGGGCGACACACGUGUUACAAUGGCGUGGACAAAGGGAAGCCACCUGGCGACAGGGAGCGAAUCCCCAAACCACGUCUCAGUUCGGAUCGGAGUCUGCAACCCGACUCCGUGAAGCUGGAUUCGCUAGUAAUCGCGCAUCAGCCAUGGCGCGGUGAAUACGUUCCCGGGCCU